UACAGUACACGCAUCAGGAAACAAACCCAUGUUUUGCAUGUGGAGGUCUACACCUGAAAAAAAACUGCCCAUCUAAGAAAGUGGAAUGUUUCUGUUGUGGAAAAAUUGGACACGUAAAAGCACACUGUAUAACCAAGAUGACAAAACGUUGGAACAAAGAAAGAAGAAUAAACAAAAUGUUGUUGAAAGAAAAUGGUAAUAUGACAAAGAGGAAAUUCAUGAAUGUGAAAAUUGAAAAUAUAAGAGUAAAAAUGCAGUUAGAUACUCGAAGUGAUACUACCAUUGUGA